CGCAAAAUGAGAAACGGAUCCAAUUUGGGAAUUUCAUAUUUGAAAGAAAAUCUCCUCCUCGGACCGUGGUCUGGUCUGGUCCAAAAGUCAGAAUCACACUCUUCAUAAGUCACAUUCACGUCGAGGCUGGCGAGCGGCUCGUUAUGAGGGGACAGUCUGUCACUCUGACACAAAAGUACUUUCUUAAGGUAAUUUUCUCUCCGGAAGGGAAAUUGAAACCACAAAUCGAUAUCACACAUCUUAAAUCUCACCUCUGGCUCCAAGUACAAAAAAGAAAUGCAAUAUCGCUCUUUUUAUGAAUUGAAGGUUUUUUUAUGUAUUUCUCCAAUUUGAUUCAACUUUGAGACAAGCGGGACAUUUUUUACGUUUUGGUAAAUUUGACAACUUGUCGUGGUCUGUGGGAGGAAGGAGGUCAGACAAUUUAUCUGGAUGAUUUUCUGAUUUGGUAUACAUUACGCGAAAUCGAAUCCUAAUGCAAUUGCAAUUUUAUUGUCGGUCGGCCAUAAUCGAGCUUGUCCAGUCAUCAGAUGUGGGAGAUUUAGUCAUUUUACCGGCACUCGUAGAUAGGGAGCAGACUAAUGGCGACACAAGUCAUCGCGUCUGAUGGUAGGCCAGAUGGGAUCAUGUCAUUUCAUCAUUUUUCUCAUGGUCGCUCUUUGCGCGGAGGAAAAAUGAGUAUUUAUCCGGAAGUAAAUUCGACAGGAUUUUUACGCAUUACAAAUAUGCUUGCAAAAAUUGUAAUAUUUGUUGCAAAUUUGUCUUUGCACACGGCACUCGCUAAUUACCCCACGAACAACAUGUAUAUCUACAUAGGCGAGGAGGCCAAGUGGGAGAUUUUCUAGUUAAAACCAACCCCAAACUUUUAUAGGCACAUGCAAUCUCCCUUUUACCGACGAGACAAGAUCUUUCAAUCUGCACAAGGGGAGUGGAUCUAGAACGGGAUCUGGGAAAUUUCUCCAUGCAGUCACCUGACCCAACAUGCCCAGCAACCUUUACUUACUCUUUCCCAUCAUCCUCCAACCAAGCUCAUCUCCUCUUCUGUUCUGGUUUAUCCGACCAACUAGCAGUCGUGGGGAUAGAUAAGCACAAAUCUACACCCAAUCCAACAUUUGCUUUCUCUCCGUGCUGCUGCUGCUCUCUUCAUCUCAGGUUUAUUGAUGAUUUAGUAAGAUAAUAUAACGUCAAGUCAGUCAACGUUGUGUGUGGUGAUGAGAUUCUCUCCCUCUCCCCGCUUGGCUGCUUUCCAUAUUCGUCCGAAACAGAAGAAACGUUCACCGUCGCGUACAAAGGAGGUCUCCCAGAGUAUGCUCUCUGAUUUGACCAAAUUAGUGUUAAUCGGUCACAAAUUUAAUUAAUAGGAAAUUUUCUAAAGAUGCGAUCUCCCAAGGCCCAAGUUUGGCAGGAAUAUUUGCAUCCGAAGAGGAGAAAACGCACCCGAAAGUUAAUAAAUUUUACAUUUUACUGUGAGCUUUCUCCUCUUCGGGUGCAAAUAUCUCGGCCAAACCUGCGUAUUGAGCGAUUGUGUGCCUUGCAUAUUUCAUAUUAAUUAAAGUUAUGAUCGAUUGAGAUAAUUUUGCUCAAAAUCUGAGAGCAUACGCUGGGAGACCUCCGCUGUUAGAUAUAUCCGUAUGUAUAACGGCAUUAAUUGAGAAAGACGAUUAUUUGCAGGAUUUGCACUGUUUGCCCAUUCAUGCUUCAUACAGUGUAACGCAUAAACGAUUAAAUGAACUUUGCCGUCUUUGUCUUUCUGCUUAAAGUGAAGGGAAAGGUGAAAUCACCACCAUCUCGGCGAGUGAAGGGGGAAAGCAAUAUCGUGGAGUAAUACAUACAUAAUAAUAAAUAUGGAGGGUGAAGGUAAGUUAGUUGUGUGCAGUAGUGAUGCACUUCAAGUCGCAUGCAAUAUAAGACGCUUGGGUAAAUAUUUGCCAACAGAUUUGAGAAUGGCAUAGUAAGUAAUAGGGACAGGCAGAAUGGUGAAUGGGCACGAAGGUGAAAGUCACAAUAUUUUUCAACGGUUUGUAUAGAAUUGAAGGAAAAUUGAUACAAAGUGCAGAGUACAAAUUGAAGAAGCUGAUAUUACACAAUUACACAAAAGGUGGAUCAGGCAGGGAUUUAUCCUUUGUGUACAUACGUUCUCUGCUUGGGAUCUAAUAUGUUUAGUUGCGGAUAACUUUUUCCGCGUGUUGUGCACUAAUUACUAACAAAAGUUUGUUCUUGGUUUAGUUGGAUUUACAAAUACCAACGGGAUAAUUGGAACACAAAAACUAUUCGCCGGUACAUACAUACACUCUACAAAAUCCGGUGACAAACGUGACUAAACGACUAUGCGUUGUUACCGUUUCGGUGGUAGAUGCAAUAGGCUUUCACCUAGCUAGUGGUGGGUGCUGUUACCACGUGGUGAUCCGAGCUGUGACAUCUUAUCUUAUCACCAUCCGGUAAAAUCAGGCCUCGUGUAAAAAAAUCGGCUGCCAAACUGAAAAAUUACUGUACAUCAAGUCAACAGAAAGCAUUUUACACUUUCGACUAUUUCCUUACUUACGUGUUGCCAGACUCGAAACACCAGCAGCACCACCACCUGCAAAAAUACUUACCUCCUCCUGCCCGUAUUGACUUUGACUGACGAGGAAAAACAGUAAAGCGAAAUAUGCAGCUGUGACAUUAUGAGCAAAGCAACUGGAACUCGAGGAAAGCAGGCGAUGACGAAUUUGAAAAUUCGAAUGAGCACAACACGUCUUGAGUUCUGGGUGUGAGUUGAAUAUCAAUUUUUUACACCUUUCCCUUCUAAUGCGACCGAGCAGCCAGGCAGGCAGUACAUGAAGUUAUGUAUGUUCGUACAAGAACGGGCUGGAUAAAAUUCUUUGGAGAAGGACGAGCGAAGGAGACAAAUACAUGGUUUGCUAUUGUUUCCAGUUUACUUUGUGACCAUGUUUGCCAAUUGGACGGAAUUGUUGUUUUGCUCGUUCCUCGUGCUGAAUGAUUAUUGUCGAGCAGUAUACACACUUUAUUUCACACGUCGUAUGUAGUUGCGGAAAAAUAUUGGUGUAAAUACAUCGUAUUAUUGGGGGUUGGUUGAGAUGGGUUAAUAAAUAUGUUACACAUACAUCAACUAUGUGUUACGAAAUCAA